rnacentral:rRNA from 1 species
AGUGAACGCUGGCGGUAGGCCUAACACAUGCAAGUCGAACGGCAGCACAGUAAGAGCUUGCUCUUACGGGUGGCGAGUGGCGGACGGGUGAGGAAUACAUCGGAAUCUACUUUUUCGUGGGGGAUAACGUAGGGAAACUUACGCUAAUACCGCAUACGACCUACGGGUGAAAGCAGGGGAUCUUCGGACCUUGCGCGAUUGAAUGAGCCGAUGUCGGAUUAGCUAGUUGGCGGGGUAAAGGCCCACCAAGGCGACGAUCCGUAGCUGGUCUGAGAGGAUGAUCAGCCACACUGGAACUGAGACACGGUCCAGACUCCUACGGGAGGCAGCAGUGGGGAAUAUUGGACAAUGGGCGCAAGCCUGAUCCAGCCAUACCGCGUAGGUGAAGAAGGCCUUCGGGUUGUAAAGCCCUUUUGUUGGGAAAGAAAAGCAGCAGGUUAAUACCCCGCUGUUCUGACGGUUCCCAAAGAAUAAGCACCGGCUAACUUCGUG